rnacentral:rRNA from 1 species
UACAGAGGUCUCGAGCGUUAGGCGGAAUCACUGGGCUUAAAGCGUGUGUAGGCGGCGGGCUAAGUACCUUGUGAAAUCCCACGGCUUAACUGUGGAACUGCUGGGUAUACUGGUUCGCUUGAGCGGUCUGGGGGCGAGCGGAACAAAUGGUGGAGCGGUGAAAUGCGUAGAUAUCAUUUGGAACGCCAACGGUGAAAACAGCUCGCUGGGGACCUGCUGACGCUGAGACACGAAAGCCAGGGGAGCGAACGGG